AGGAGCAGAUACUGGAGCUGGUAGUUUUGAAGCAGUUUGUUGCCUUCUUACCCAAGGAGCUACAGACUUGGGUUCGAGAGCAUCACCCAGAGAAUGGAGAGGAGGCAGUGGCUGUUCUAGAGGACUUGGAGAGUGAGCUUGAUGACCCUGAUCAGCCUGUUUCUCUCCGUCGGCGGAAACGGGAAGUGCUUGUAGAAGAGAUAGCAUCUCAAGAAGACGCUCAGGGAUUACCGAGUUCUGAGCUGGAUGCUGUAGAGAACCAGCUCAAAUGUGCAUCCUGGGAACUCCACUCUCUGAGGCACUGUGAUGAUGAUGCCACGACAGAUAAUGGAGCACUGGCUCCCAAGCAAGAGAUGGCUUCAGCGGGAGAGUCUCACAAAGUCCCCGGCACUCUCAAUAUAGGUGUUCCCCAGAUUUUUAAAUAUGGAGAAACCUGUUUUCCCAAGGGUAGGUUUGAAAGGAAGAGAAAUCCUUCUAGAAAGAAACAACACAUAUGUGACAAAUGUGGGAAACACUUCAGUCAGGGCUCUGCCCUCAUUCUUCAUCAGAGAAUCCACAGUGGCGAGAAACCUAUGGAUGUGUUGAAUGUGGAAAAGCCUUCAGCAGAAGCUCCAUCCUGGUGCAACACCAGAGAGUCCACACUGGAGAAAAACCCUACAAAUGUCUUGAAUGUGGGAAAGCUUUCAGCCAGAAUUCUGGGCUCAUUAACCAUCAGCGGAUCCACACUGGGGAGAAAACUUACGAGUGUGUGCAGUGUGGGAAAUCCUACAGUCAGAGCUCAAACUUCUUCAGACAUCAGAGACGACACAAUGCAGAAAAACUUUUGAAUGUUGUGAAGGUUUAAGAAAUUAAGAGGAAACAAUCAGCACUCAGGUCUUUUUCUUCAGAAAUGAAGACAAAAUUAAAAACAUGAAGAGAUAUGGAAACUUAUUUUUCCCUGUUGACUGGGAAAAUCCACUGGGAAAUAGAAAAAAAAAACAAACUUCAUUCACCAUUAUUAUCUUGAAAGAAAUGGUGUUAUACCUCCCUAGAAUCUGAAAUUUUAAUAAUUCAGGUGUUAAUACCUAAAUUUUUCUUGUGAAAUUUAUAUUCUCUUUUUUUCUCUCCAGGUAAUGAGCUACCUGGUUCUUUGUCCCUUUCCUUUUUCAGACAGCUACUUUAUUUCUCUGUUGGUCAUUGGAGUGUUGAUCUGUAAGGGUGCAUACGUUUUUAUUUUAAAGGGCAACACGGGAAUUGUAAAAUCUAGAAGCCCAUCCUCAAGACUCAGAAACAUCCUU